UACGUAGGGUCCGAGCGUUGUCCGGAAUCACUGGGCGUAAAGCGCACGUAGGCGGAUUGUUAAGUCGGGGGUGAAAUCCUGAGGCUCAACCUCAGAACUGCCUCCGAUACUGGCAAUCUCGAGUUCGGAAGAGGUUGGUGGAACAGCUAGUGUAGAGGUGAAAUUCGUAGAUAUUAGCUAGAACACCAGUGGCGAAGGCGGCCAACUGGUCCGAUACUGACGCUGAGGUGCGAAAGCGUGGGGAGCAAACAGG
rnacentral:rRNA from 1 species